CCCCAGCACUGCUCUCCCCCAGACCUGGUCCUCAGGAAGCUCCACGAACCCCCCGAUUCAAUGUGGACCCAGGCAGCCAGGUGCAGGCAGGUGUGCAAGUGGGUGAGUAGGUGAGUGUGCAGGUGAGUGUGCAGGUUGGUGGGCAGGUGGGUGAGCAGGUGAGUGAGCAGGUGGGUGAGUAGGUGAGUGAGCAGGUGGGUGAGUAGGUGAGUGUACAGGUGAGUGUGCAGGCAGGCAUGACCCAGGUGGAGGCAGACACCACGGAGCCGUGAGACCCCUCAGUUUGAGCUCAGGCCGAACCCUCUGUGGCUGCCAGGCCCCGCCCCGUGGCCCCAAGCACAGGCCGCACACACCCACAGGGCUCCCAUGGGCCCCCCCC